ACGAACGCUGGCGGCAUGCCUAACGCAUGCAAGUCGAACGAGACCUUCGGGUCUAGUGGCGCACGGGUGCGUAACGCGUGGGAACCUGCCCUUAGGUUCGGAAUAACUCCCCGAAAGGGGUGCUAAUACCGGAUAAUGUCUUCGGACCAAAGAUUUAUCGCCUUUGGAUGGGCCCGCGUUGGAUUAGCUAGUUGGUAGGGUAAAAGCCUACCAAGGCGACGAUCCAUAGCUGGUCUGAGAGGAUGAUCAGCCACACUGGGACUGAGACACGGCCCAGACUCCUACGGGAGGCAGCAGUGGGGAAUAUUGGACAAUGGGCGAAAGCCUGAUCCAGCAAUGCCGCGUGAGUGAUGAAGGCCUUAGGGUUGUAAAGCUCUUUUACCCGGGAUGAUAAUGACAGUACCGGGAGAAUAAGCUCCGGCUAACUCCGU
rnacentral:rRNA from 1 species